UACGUAGGCAGCAAGCGUUGUUCGGAGUUACUGGGCGUAAAGGGUGUGUAGGCGGUUGUUUAAGUUUGGUGUGAAAUCUCCCGGCUCAACUGGGAGGGUGCGCCGAAUACUGAAUGACUCGAGUGCGGGAGAGGAAAGUGGAAUUCCUGGUGUAGCGGUGAAAUGCGUAGAUAUCCGGAGGAGCACCGGUGGCGAAGGCGGCUUCCUGGACCGAUUACUGACGCUGAGGCGCGAAAGCUAGGGGAGCGAACGGG
rnacentral:rRNA from 1 species